GAAGCUUCUCGGCCUUUUGGCUAAGAUCAAGUGUAGAAGCUUCCUCCUAGUUGUUGUUGUUUUUUAGGGGGAUUUGUGAUGACCACGGGUUUAUUUGUAUGCAAAUCCAGCACUUUGAGUUUCUCAUACAGUGUUUAUUAAUGCUCCCCUC